UACGUAGGGUGCGAGCGUUAAUCGGAAUUACUGGGCGUAAAGCGUGCGCAGGCGGAUUGUUAAGCAAGAUGUGAAAUCCCCGGGCUUAACCUGGGAACUGCGUUUGUGACUGUAUAACUCGAGUGUGGCAGAGGGGGUGGAAUUCCACGUGUAGCAGUGAAAUGCGUAGAGAUGUGGAGGAACACCGAUGGCGAAGGCAGCCCCUGGGUCGACACUGACGCU
rnacentral:rRNA from 1 species